rnacentral:rRNA from 1 species
CAGGAUGAACGCUAGCGGCAGGCCUAACACAUGCAAGUCGAGGGGUAACGAUGGCUUCGGCCAGGCGACGACCGGCGCACGGGUGAGUAUCGCGUUUGUAACCUACCUCUGACUGGAGGAUAGCUCGAAGAAAUUCGGAUUAAUACUCCAUAAUACUAUGGACAGGCAUCUGUUCAUGGUUAAAGCCCCGGCGGUCAGAGAUGGGCAUGCGUGACAUUAGCUUGUUGGUGAGGUAACAGCUCACCAAGGCUACGAUGUCUAGGGGGUCUGAGAGGAUGGUCCCCCACACUGGUACUGAGACACGGACCAGACUCCUACGGGAGGCAGCAGUGAGGAAUAUUGGUCAAUGGGCGAAAGCCUGAACCAGCCAUGCCGCGUGAAGGAUGACAGCCCUAUGGGUUGUAAACUUCUUUUGUACGGGAAGAAACGCUUCUACGUGUAGAGGUUUGACGGUACCGUACGAAUAAGCAUCGGCUAACUCCGUGCCAGCAGCCGCGGUAAUACGGAGGAUGCAAGCGUUAUCCGGAUUUAUUGGGUUUAAAGGGUACGUAGGCGGGAGCUUAAGUCAGUGGUGAAAUCCUGCAGCUUAACUGUAGAACUGUCAUUGAUACUGGGCUUCUUGAAUGUAGUUGAGGUAGGCGGAAUGUGUAAUGUAGCGGUGAAAUGCUUAGAUAUUACACAGAACACCGAUUGCGAAGGCAGCUUACUAAACUACGAUUGACGCUGAGGUACGAAAGCGUGGGGAGCGAACAGGAUUAGAUACCCUGGUAGUCCACGCUGUAAACGAUGAUCACUCGUUGUUGGCAAUACACCGUCAGCGACUGAGCGAAAGCAUUAAGUGAUCCACCUGGGGAGUACGACCGCAAGGUUGAAACUCAAAGGAAUUGACGGGGGCCCGCACAAGCGGAGGAACAUGUGGUUUAAUUCGAUGAUACGCGAGGAACCUUACCUGGGCUUAAAUGUAGAACGACGGACCGGGAAACUGGUCUUUCUUCGGACGGUCUGCAAGGUGCUGCAUGGCUGUCGUCAGCUCGUGC